ACUGCCUUUCAAAAGAUCCAACACUCCAUAAAGAGAACGCCGCCCUAGGUUGUAAACAAGUCUUGGCCGAAUACAUGCGUGCUGUUGGAGACAAGUCAUUUGUCCACACCUCUACACUACAGGCUGAGUGGGAGAAGAUUUUGAGCUGAAUGUUGGGAUUGCUCUCUCUGUUUCAAUAUACAGGCUUUAAAUGUGAGAGCUUUAUGAGGACCCAGUGCAAAUCUAGGUUGGGAAAGAAUGGUCAGCUUAGCCAUUUGCCUGCAAAUCUGUAGAGAAGCCUAUAUGUAGUCCCACCGAUGGCAUCUUUGGCCAAACUGAGUGUGGUUCCUCCAGUGAGGCUGAGCGAGGAGAGGUGGUCAGUGAUCAUCAUUGUAGAGGUCUCUAUGAUGUCAUCUCCUUUACUUGACCAGCCUGGACACCAACUUCCUCUCUACAUGGUCUUUCUUUCUAGAAGCCACGGUUGCUCAAGCCAAAGCCACUAACCAGAGCUUUCAAAAGAACUUGGAUUCCUUAUUUUACCUGUUUCAUGAUUGUUUUAGACUGCUCAAGGCUCUAACAAGAAGGACUAUGGAACAAUGGAAUCAUUUUAAUAAAUCAUACAGCCAAAAGUACUUCAUAUUUAAGAGCAUUGAGAGAAAAAGCCUCCAAACAGGACAUUACAUGUGUUUGUUAAAAAUGGAGACCCACGAAUAUUCUGUUUUUAAGCAGCAAUGAUCUAUUCUCCCAAGUGAAGCCUUGGAAUGUGAAGUCCCAGCUCAAGUAUCAGCUACACUGUGUUUCAGGGACCUACAGUCAAGUGAAGUUCUAAAAUACCCAGUGGAAAAUUUUCAGAACCGAUCAACGCACGGCUUUCCAGUGCUACUUGCCGUUCCACUCGGUGCUAUGAAUCUUACAUCAGGCUAUUCUGCCUCACCUGGAAUAUGAGUCAACCUUCUGUCCAGCAUUUCCAUGAUGCUUCUGCAAGUCACACGUUAGUCACUCAGUAGCUGUCCUAGUUAUCAGAUUGACCCUUGUGACAUGGCCGUUCAAGAAGCCAUCAUUCUAUUUAAAAAUGGCCUCGAAGUGCAAGGACAUGGGAGAUAUGCUAAAGAAAGAAGCACAAUACUUUCUUGAUAUAAAAGGUAACAGAUACACUGUGAUAAUUGAAUGCUA